rnacentral:rRNA from 1 species
GCCUCUCUCCCCCCCGGUCCCCUCGGGGCGCCCGCCAGCGGCCGCGAGCCGCCCGAACUUUUUAUAACCGUAACCGACACGUCUGAGAAACAAACAAAAACAGCCAAAACUUUCAACAACGGAUCUCUUGGCUCUGGCAUCGAUGAAGAACGCAGCGAAAUGCGAUACGUAAUGCGAAUUGCAGAAUUCAGCGAGUCAUCGAAUCUUUGAACGCACAUUGCGCCCGCCAGCAUUCUGGCGGGCAUGCCUGUCCGAGCGUCAUUUCCCCCCUCAGCGCGCCCUUCGGGAGGCGCUGGCGUUGGGGCUCCUCCGCCCUCUGCGGCGGCAGGGCCCUCAAAUCCAGUGGCGGGCCCGGCUGGUUGGCUCCGAGCGCAGUACCGAACGCAAGUUCUCUCCCUCGCUCUGCAGCCCCGGCCGGCGCCCUGCCGUCAAGCCGCGCAGGCGUCCAGCACGCCUCGCACU